UCUAUGGCGUAGUGGUAACGCGUUGCACUUGUAAUGCAAAGAUCCCUGGUUCAACCCCUGG
rnacentral:tRNA from 1 species